ACGGAAGGCAGCAGUGAGGAAUAUUGGUCAAUGGGCGGAAGCCUGAACCAGCCAAGUCGCGUGAAGGAAGAAGGUAUUAUGUAUUGUAAACUUCUUUAGACGUAGAGAAAUAAGGGGAUCGUGAUCCCUGAUGCUAGUAUACGUAGAAUAAGGAUCGGCUAACUCCGUGCCAGCAGCCGCGGUAAUACGGAGGAUCCGAGCGUUAUCCGGAUUUACUGGGUUUAAAGGGUGCGCAGGCGGUCUUUUAAGUCAGUGGUUAAAUCGUGGAGCUUAACUCCAUCCCGCCAUUGAUACUGGAGGACUUGAUUGCGGUUGAGGUUGGCGGAAUUCGCCGUGUAGCGGUGAAAUGCAUAGAUAUGGCGAAGAACUCCGAUUGCGUAGGCAGCUGACCAAGCCGUAAAUGACGCUCAUGCACGAAAGUGCGGGGAUCGAACAGGAUUAGAUACCCUGGUA
rnacentral:rRNA from 1 species